AGGAUAAUAGUUUAAUUAAAACAUUUAAGUUGCAUUUGAAAAUUAUAUCAAUAUUUAUCUUU
rnacentral:tRNA from 1 species